GGAGAGGUGGCCGAGUGGUCGAAGGCACCCGCUUGCUAAGCGGUUUCUCGUCGAAAGAUGGGACGGGAGUUCGAAUCUCCCCCUCUCCG
rfam:Candidate division WOR-3 bacterium RBG_13_43_14 RBG_13_scaffold_27493, whole genome shotgun sequence.